UUGCACGCUGGCGGCAUGCUUUACCCCUGCAAGUCGCACGGCAGCGAGGAGAAGCUUGCUUCUCUGUCGGCGAGUGGCGAACGGGUGAGUAUAGCAUCGGAACGUGCCAAGUAGUGGGGGAUAACCAAACGAAAGUUUGGCUAAUACCGCGUAAGCUCUAAGGAGGAAAGUAGGGGACCUAAAUAAGGCCUUACGCUAUUUGAUCGGCCGAUGUCGGAUUAGCUAGUUGGUGGGGUAAUGGCUCACCAAGGCAAUGAUCCGUAGCGGGUCUGAGAGGACGAUCCGCCACACUGGGACUGAGACACGGCCCAGACUCCUACGGGAGGCAGCAGUGGGGAAUUUUGGACAAUGGGGGAAACCCUGAUCCAGCCAUGCCGCGUGUAUGAAGAAGGCCUUAGGGUUGUAAAGUACUUUUGUUAGGGAAGAAAAGCUAGUUUUUAAUAAAAAUUAGUGAUGACGGUACCUAAAGAAUAAGCACCGGCUAACUACGUG
rnacentral:rRNA from 1 species